rnacentral:rRNA from 1 species
CCUACGGGAUGCUGCAGUGAGGAAUAUUGGUCAAUGGGCGCAAGCCUGAACCAGUCAAGUAGCGUGAAGGAUGACUGCCCUACGGGUUGUAAACUUCUUUUAUAAGGGAAUAAAGUGAGGCACGUGUGCCUUUUUGUAUGUACUUUAUGAAUAAGGAUCGGCUAACUCCGUGCCAGCAGCCGCGGUAAUACGGAGGAUCCGAGCGUUAUCCGGAUUUAUUGGGUUUAAAGGGAGCGUAGAUGGGCUGUUAAGUCAGUUGUGAAAGGUUGCGGCUCAACCGUAAAAUUGCAAUUGAUACUGGCAGGCUUGAGUACAGUUGAGGUAGGCGGAAUGCGUGGUGUAGCGGUGAAAUGCUUAGAUAUCAUGAAGAACACCGAUUGCGAAGGCAGCUUACUAAGCUGCUACUGACAUUGAUGCACGAAAGUGUGGGGAUCAAACAGGAUUAGAUACCCGAGUAGUC